rnacentral:lncRNA from 1 species
UUUUGGAGCUUUUGUCAUUUUCACAACUUGGAGGUUUCUAGAGCUAGAGAUAGAAAGUUCAUUGUACGUGAUUCAGGUGCUGUACACUUUCAGAUUCGUGAAUAGAAUCACGUUUAUAUUACGUCUCGUGUGUUAGCUCGCGUUCGUGUACGGAUUCUGCACGUCACACGUUCGAUUACGCAAUCGUUUCGGAGUCAAACCGGUCCUAACAAGUGGUAUCAGAGCAGGAGCUCGAUUGCACUGAUCUUUCACACGUUUUCACACAGGAUUUCAUCAGAUUCAGAUCCGAAUUUUAUCUAGUUCUUCAUUUUUUUCAUAUUCUUCACGUUUUUACUGAUUAUCGUCAAAUUGAUCAGGUUUUCACGGUCCGUUUCAGCUGAUUUUUGGAUAUGUUGUGCGCCUAUACCCGAUCUACAACCCUACCAAGUUUCAGAUCGAAACUCCAAACCGUUUAGGAGAAAUCGAGAUUUUUUUGUUCGAAAUCGCGUUAAAAUUGCAGGUCUGAACCGCUUAUUUGAACAAACUUGUGGUCCGCUUAUUUGGUCAGAAGUUGAAUCGCUCAUGUGACACCCUUUGAACCGCUCAUAGGGCAAUUGGUAUGAACCGCUCUUAAUUCAAAGGUUCAGGAUCGCUCAUAGGAUAAAGUUUGGUCCGCUUUUUCAAACAAUUGAGGAUCGCUGAUAUGUCAGUCUAUGGAUCGCUUUUGUGCCCAAUCCCAGCAUUCGUGUUCACCGCUCACAGUCUAAAACAGCCCACGUGCGUUAAAGUCGGCCCAAUUAACAAUUCUUAUUAUUAAUGCACCGCCCAUGUGACCGCAAAUAUCAUCUGUUGUCAUUAGUGCACCGCCCAUUGAUUGUCACAGGCCCAUGUGAUAGUGUAGUCGGCUGUUUUGUGAUUUAAAACUCUUGUACCACCGCCCCACUAAAAAUAUUU